AAUUUCGAAGUGAAGCCUAUGUCUACCAUAUCGUGUAUAGCUAUGUUGAACAGGUUCAAUGUUAAGGAGGUUGGUACCCUUGAAGAGAGGAUGGUUCUUCUAGGCAUGGAUGAGGGUCUGAAAUUGCUCAAGGCAUCAUUGGAGUCUAACGCAGUUCUCACCAAUGUCUUCCUUGGGAAGAAAGAGGAGUAAACAUGUCAACUUUAAGCCUGAUCAAUUCUGGAAAUGGAAUUUUGGAGGUUGUUUGACUGUUGUGCGUCUGAGUUCGGACUAGGGAUUCAUAAAGAGUGUCUGACACUAUUAUUUUGGAGGUUUUUUGUGGUAAUCAGUCAGUUGUAAAUUGAUGAAAUCGACGUCACCAUGCUCCUUUUCAGAGGAUAGUUUCUUCUGUUAAGGUAGCUGAACCGACUUUUGCUAGAACUUUUGAGCUUGUGUGACUCCAAGAUGUUUUUGAGACUCAUGUAUUACUCUUUUGCUGUUGAAUGAAUCGUUUUCUUCAUUUU